UAGGAAAUCUGACGUGCUGAGCUGAAGGUUUGCACCAUGUUUGCUGAUGUGGCUGUUUUAAGAUGAGACGAAAUGUGUUGAACUACUCAAAUAUAUUACCAGGAAGAGAUUAAAGGUGCUGUAUACUGUGACCUGACUCGUUCUUGAUCACUUCAAUAUGCAGCCAGCAGGCUUCGGUCUGGAAAAGUGUCUCCUAGUGGAAAUGUUCCCUGGAUGUGACGUGAUUUAGCACUUUCUUUGGGGAGACGGAGCUGGUGAACUUUGUGCGCUCUAGGGCAAAGUCUCACAUGUGGAGCUCCAGCAAAACCACAGAGACCCUGACCGAUGCACACAACUAUGCCUUUCUUUUUCAUGCGCUUUAUAAUAAUAACUCUAUGAAAAUCAUUUCCUGACAGUUAAUUGCUAGCAGGAACAUUUCUCAGACAAAGGCUGGAUUAUGGGUCAUUAGAUGUACAGUAUCGUAUUAAAGAACUUUAACCACAAACUUUAUGAAAUGUCAAAGUGUGAAGAGAUUUGAUGCCUUAUUUUUGUUUCAGACAAUGAAUUGGACAUUAAAUCAUUGGAUG